UCCCAACUAAUACCUAAACCAGCUGGCGUGGUAAGUGGCUGAACGACUGAUACUCGUAAGAUACGGGCAUUGCCCAUAUUGUUUCCCGCAACGUUCUUUUUUCUAUUAACAAUGGUCUCAAAAAUUAAAUGAUGAGAGACUUUUAAGGAAAAAGGGGCAGGAAUUUCCACGUCACAGCUUGGCUCUCUUAAAGAAGAUGUGUUAAUUUGAGUAGAUAGAAACAUCUGAUUAUCAAUGAACUUCCAUCCCGAUUGUAAAUCUUGUGUACUCAAAAUUCUUUUUUCUUCAAUAGGUCGAGGUUUUACCAAAUCACGAUGGCGUUCACAUGGUUGACAACUAAACUGCAUAUGCUCCUCCAAUCUCCAAGUAACUCUAUUGAUCUUCCAAUCGUUGCCGUCAUUUUGGGCAAAACCAGUCAUGGUAACUUCCAUAAGCGCAGCUCCAUGAGGAUGCAAGGUACUGGGCAAAGUAAUGUUUGCAACAAGAUUCGUAGGGGGAAAGAUACGUUUAUGGAUGGUAUCAGGCGAAGGAAUGGCAGCUCGCUUUAGUUGGAGAGGAAACUUAAGAACUUCGGGCUUCGAGGGAGAAAUUCCGCCUUCAGGAGUACCAUAGCAUAACGUAGCUUCUAAAUAAUACUCAAGCUUGAUGUAUCUGUUAGAAACCGAAGCAGGAAGCGAACCAGGGAAAAGCCAACUAAAAGGCCAAUGCUGAGUACCAGGUCUAUAUGUGGUAUUUGCAGCUAAAUCCCAAGUCUGUAAAACCUCUUUUGAACCCGCACAAGCAGAACAAUGAGAGAUUGCAGGAUGAAGAACGGUGAUCCUUUUUAUGAGUUGCAGCUUGAGGGUAUGUACUUUAAUAAAAGGUUGAUGUAAAAUCGUCAGUUUUAAAAUGCCAGACGCAAGUGCACCACUAGACGUUUCCGGCGAGCCAAGGAAUACCAGCGGCGGUGAUUCCAUACGUAUAUCUAACGUACAGCGAGCAGGGUCUUUUGGCGUGGUUGAACGAGGUAGUGCAAGUUUUAAUGGCAUAGUAAUAAGAAAAUCUA